CAGCACCCCGAGUGGUCGGGACGAUUAUUGGGCCUAAAGCAUCCGUAGCCGGUUCUACAAGUCUUCCGUUAAAUCCACCUGCUUAACAGUUGGGCUGCAGAGGAUACUAUAGAGCUAGGAGGCGGGAGAGGCAAGCGGUACUUAGUGGGUAGGGGUAAAAUCCGUUGAUCCACUGAAGACCACCAGUGGCGAAGGCGGCUUGCCAGAACGCGCUCGACGGUGAGGGAUGAAAGCUGGGGGAGCAAACCGGAUUAGAUACCCGGGUAGUCCCAGCUGUAAACGAUGCAGACUCGGUGAUGAAUAGGCUUCGUGCCUAUUCAGUGCCGCAGGGAAGCCGUUAAGUCUGCCGCCUGGGGAGUACGGUCGCAAGACUGAA
rnacentral:rRNA from 1 species